AUGGCUAUAUUAUCAGCUCCUCUGCUUCUUCCUCUCCCUCAUCCCUUUUCAUUUCCCUCCAAACGCCACCGUUUCGGAACCUUCAAGGUUUCCAGCUCCAUCUCAUCCACUAAUGGAGCUCUGCUCAGAAGACAAUUCACCCAGCGAUACCCUCUCGUGUUUGCCAAAGCCUCCUCUGUUUACGCCACCAGAGAAGACCUCGACACUGUCAAUAUCGCUGAGGACGUAACCCAGUUGAUUGGAAGUACACCAAUGGUAUACCUCAACAAAGUUACCGGAGGUUGUGUGGCAAAUAUUGCAGCAAAGCUUGAAUCUAUGGAACCGUGCCGAAGUGUCAAGGAUAGAAUUGGAUGUAGCAUGAUAUCUAAUGCUGAGAAAAGUGGAUUAAUAUCUCCUGGAAAGAGUGUAUUAGUUGAACCAACUAGUGGGAAUACAGGACUUGGUAUUGCUUUUGUUGCUGCAACUAAAGGGUAUAAACUUAUAGUCACCAUGCCUGCAUCCAUAAAUCUCGAAAGGAGGAUUCUUUUACGUGCAUUUGGGGCAGAGGUUGUUUUGACAGAUCCAGAAAAGGGUUUGAAAGGAGCUUUAGAUAAAGCUGGAGAGAUUGUUCUGAGAACACCAAAUUCAUAUAUGCUUCAACAGUUUGAUAAUACCGCUAAUGCAAAGAUACAUUUCGAUACUACUGGCCCAGAAAUAUGGGAGGAUACCAUGGGCAGCGUUGACAUAUUUGUUGCUGCUAUUGGAACUGGUGGUACUGUUACAGGCACUGGGCGUUACCUAAAAGCGAUGAACAACGAGAUAAAGGUAGUAGGUGUGGAACCUGCAGAGAGGAGCGUGAUCUCUGGAGAAAAUCCAGGUUAUGUGCCAAGUAUUUUGGAUGUUAAUUUGCUUGAUGAGGUCAUCAAGGUUACUAAUGAUGAAGCUGUUGAAAUGGCAAGGAGACUAGCAUUGGAGGAAGGUUUACUGGUUGGUAUUUCAUCAGGAGCUGCUGCAGCUGCUGCAAUAAGUUUAGCAAGAAGGCCUGAAAAUACUGGAAAACUAAUCACGGUUAUAUUUCCAAGCUUUGGUGAGCGGUAUAUUCCCACUGUACUUUUCCAAUCAAUACAUGAAGAGGUUCAGAAGAUGCGAGGAAGAUAAACAUAACUAUUCCAGACAAUGUAUCAUCCAAAAGAUUGACACCUAACAUUUUAUGAAGCAAUCAGAAACCACCACGUUUCUGAAAAAAAAGGAUUACAUCAAUUGUCCAGACAGCAGCACAGGAUGGAUUUGCCUAUGGGCUUGCCCUAGUUGGUAGGCUACACGCCUUACCCGGACUCGCCCUUGCGCCCUGGAGCCGUCACCUGGGCCUAGGUCCUCUUCUGCCUAGGCUUCCCCUUGCCGUUGAAAGUGCUCUUAACACAAGUGUAAGGUGGUGAUGCGCUAUUAUGCUAAAUAAUUGAAAGAUUAAAGGGCCUUAAAUGAGCUAA